GACCAACGCUGACGGUAUGCUUUAUACAUGCAAGUCGAACGGUAAGGUCUCUUCGGAGAUACACGAGUGGCGGACGGGUGAGUAACACGUAGGAAUAUGCCCUUCAGUGGGGGACAACCAGGAGAAAUUCUGGCUAAUACCCCAUACGCAGUGAUGUGAAAGAUUUAUCGCUGGAGGAGUAGCCUGCGCUUGAUUAGCUUGUUGGUGGGGUAAAAGCCUACCAAGGCGACGAUCAAUAGCUGGUCUGAGAGGAUGGCCAGCCACAAUGGGACUGAGAUACGGCCCAUACUCCUACGGGAGGCAGCAGUAGGGAAUUUUGCGCAAUGGGCGAAAGCCUGACGCAGCAAUACCGUGUGCGGGAAGACGCUUUGUGGAGUGUAAACCGCUGUCAGAUGGGAUGAAUCAAUGACCGUACCAUCAAAGGAAGGACCGGCUAACUCUG
rnacentral:rRNA from 1 species